UGAUCUCGGAGCAGAGCUGGGCAGA
rnacentral:piRNA from 1 species